UACAGAGGUCUCGAGCGUUGUUCGGAUUCAUUGGGCGUAAAGGGUGCGUAGGUGGCGUGGUAAGUCUGGUGUGAAAUCCCGGGGCUCAACCCCGGAACUGCACUGGAUACUGCCAUGCUUGAGUACUGGAGAGGAGAUUGGAAUUUACGGUGUAGCAGUGAAAUGCGUAGAUAUCGUAAGGAAGACCAGUGGCGAAGGCGAAUCUCUGGACAGUUACUGACACUGAGGCACGAAGCC
rnacentral:rRNA from 1 species